rnacentral:tRNA from 1 species
UAGGUUGUAGUUUAAUUUAGAAUUUAAGCUUUGGGAGCUUUUGGUGCUGUUAUUGGUCGGCCUAA